CGAAAGCGUGGGGAGCAAACAGGAUUAGAUACCCUGGUAGUCCACGCCGUAAACGAUGUCUACUAGCCGUUGGGACUCUUGAAGUCUUAGUGGCGCAGCUAACGCACUAAGUAGACCGCCUGGGGAGUACGGCCGCAAGGUUAAAACUCAAAUGAAUUGACGGGGGCCCGCACAAGCGGUGGAGCAUGUGGUUUAAUUCGACGCAACGCGAAGAACCUUACCUGGCCUUGACAUGCAGAGAACUUUCCAGAGAUGGAUUGGUGCCUUCGGGAACUCUGACACAGGUGCUGCAUGGCCGUCGUCAGCUCGUGUCGUGAGAUGUUGGGUUAAGUCCCGUAACGAGCGCAACCCCUAUCCCUAGUUGCUAGCAGUUCGGCUGAGAACUCUAGGGAGACUGCCGGUGACAAACCGGAGGAAGGUGGGGAUGACGUCAGGUCAUCAUGGCCCUUACGGCCAGGGCUACACACGUGCUACAAUGGUGCGCACAGAGGGCUGCAAACCCGCGAGGGGGAGCCAAUCUCACAAAACGCAUCGUAGUCCGGAUCGCAGUCUGCAACUCGACUGCGUGAAGUCGGAAUCGCUAGUAAUCGUGAAUCAGAAUGUCACGGUGAAUACGUUCCCGGGCCUUGUACACACCG
rnacentral:rRNA from 1 species